UCUCCAUCAUUAGGGCCACAAGGUAGGAGGU
rnacentral:piRNA from 1 species